GUGCAGUGUUGGGGGGCCUCCAGGAAUGAGUGCCUUUCAGCUGAGAGCUCCUUCAUCUUAUGUUUUAUUGUUUCAGUUUGUUCUUUGCUUUCACUCCUCUUUGUGUGCAUCGUGCAGAGUCAAAGGCUGCAAUGCAGAGUUUGAUCUGCCUUGCCAAGGCUGCCGUUGUUGAAUGGCUGGGGUGAUAUAACAUACUGGGUAAAUGGGAGAAGACAGGCAGCGUGUUCCAUGGGGAGGAGGGAAGUGAACUGGGAGUUAUGGCCUGAAUGACGGCCUUAGCUUCAUAAUAGCACAGAUACUGAAAUAAAGAUGAAAAUGUAACAAAAUAAGUGCAUGGACAGUUUACAAAGUAUGUAAAUUGCUAUUUAAUAUAUGCUACAUAUAUUUUUGUACAUUUCUGUAAUGUAUUAUAUGAUACUUGAAGUGAAUGUGGAAGCUUUUAUUUGUACAAUAAAAUGUUAAGUAUUUUAUUAAUUAAAUGCAUAUAUCUUACUUAUGGCUC